GGUAAUUCUAAGCUUGUGGUUUGAGGCCAUCCGCAUGUCCAGAACACUUCCUUACACGGCAUGCUUUUGUAAAUUACUCAACGAUGACAGAAAUUGUACUUUUACACUUAUACUUAAUUGUACAUUUAGGUGAAUGGCUGCAACUAGAACCUAGUUGUAUGUAAACAUGGGAAGGUACACAGUAUUAGCAGUCUUGGGAUACAUAGGAGUAGAUGUCUCUAGCAGUGAACGGGUAGAAAUGGCACUGUGCAUGCCAAGUGACCUCAUAUUACCUCAGUGACUGAGGCCAGUGUUGUUUUUCUGAUUGUAGCUCUGUACACAGUGUUUGUACAAAAGGGCAGGUCUGGGAUGGAGAUAGUACUGGAGUCCUGGUGUGAAGACAUCCAGCAGUUACAUGUUCAGAAACAAAUGUCACCAUUGGCUUCUUCAGGUGCUAAAUACUAUAGACAAAGUAUAG